rnacentral:rRNA from 1 species
CGCGCAGGCGGUUAGGCAAGUCAGGCGUGAAAGCCCCGGGCUCAACCCGGGAAAUGCGCUUGAUACUGUCUGGCUGGAGUAUGGAAGAGGCAAGCGGAAUACCCAGUGUAGAGGUGAAAUUCGUAGAGAUUGGGUAGAACACCGGAGGCGAAGGCGGCUUGCUGGUCCAUAACUGACGCUGAGGCGCGAAAGCGUGGGGAGCAAACA